rnacentral:rRNA from 1 species
UACGGGGGGGGCAAGCGUUGUCCGGAUUUACUGGGCGUAAAGAGCGUGUAGGCGGCCAAGCAGGUCCGUUGUGAAAACUGGAGGCUUAACCUCCAGACGUCGAUGGAAACCGUAUGGCUAGAGUCCGGAAGAGGAGAGUGGAAUUCCUGGUGUAGCGGUGAAAUGCGCAGAUAUCAGGAAGAACACCCGUGGCGAAGGCGGCUCUCUGGGACGGUACUGACGCUGAGACGCGAAAGCGUGGGGAGCGAACAGG